rnacentral:rRNA from 1 species
GACGAACGCUGGCGGCGUGCUUAACACAUGCAAGUCGAACGGUGAGGAGGAGCUUGCUCCUCCGAUCAGUGGCGAACGGGUGAGUAACACGUGAGUAACCUGCCCCAGACCCUGGGAUAACAGUUGGAAACAGCUGCUAAUACCGGAUACGAGACGGAGAGGCAUCUCUACCGUCUGGAAAGAUUUAUCGGUCUGGGAUGGACUCGCGGCCUAUCAGCUUGUUGGUGAGGUAAAAGGCUCACCAAGGCGACGACGGGUAGCCGGCCUGAGAGGGCGACCGGCCACACUGGGACUGAGACACGGCCCAGACUCCUACGGGAGGCAGCAGUGGGGAAUAUUGCACAAUGGGCGAAAGCCUGAUGCAGCGACGCCGCGUGAGGGAUGACGGCCUCGGUUGUAAC